CUUUAAUGGAGUGUGUUGGGCUUAUUUUAGCCCACACACCUUAGGCUUUUAGACAAAGGUAGCGCCAUUAAAGUGAGUUUUGUUUCAAUGUUGUGCCAGCUUAUGCGGUAACACAGAUGAAACUUUCUCACUUUUGGAGGAGAACAAAGGAACUCCUUUUCCUAGGUUCUUUUAGGGAAAUCAAGUAGUUUAUGGUGUACCGGGAACAAGAGAAACUUGCCUCCUGUGAAGAAUAAACUUCCUAGACUUUGGACAUUAGGCUUAUCCGGUUCCCUGGUGUUCCGAUAAACCGUUAAAUCUUGCUUCCUUUUCUACAGGCUGCAUGGCCCACUUUUUCCUCAAGUUUCUUGAGGAAGUUUGGUGACAUGGCAUGUUGGAAGAUUUUACCAUGGGUUGAAAUAUAGGGUGAAACCCUUAUAAUUCAGAACUGGAGAGUAAUCUCGGUUUUAAUGGGACCAAGGUGAACAGUCUUCUAUAGGGACUCAUUGCUCGUCACCUGGGGUGAAAAUCCUGGCAAGUCGAAACACGAUAGGGGAUGGUGA
rnacentral:rRNA from 1 species